rnacentral:rRNA from 1 species
AUAUCAUGGACUUCAUCCAUUGUCAAAUUCUUCCUGAUGAUGUGCCAAAACCAAUUAGCAAACAUACAGAAAGCAAUGAUAGAUUGUGAUAUGAGAUGCCUGCUUCCCUCAGACCUUCAUCCAGUGUAUCCACAGCAGAUGUGA